GAUGAACGCUGGCGGCAUGCCUAACACAUGCAAGUCGAGCGAACAGACGAGGAGUUUUCUCCUCUGGCGUUGUCGGCGGACGGGUGAUUCCCACGUGUCUGACCUACCUAUAAGACUGGGGUGCCUACACGGGACCGUAUCUCAUACCGGAUAAUAUAUUGAACCUGAUGGUUCAAUAGUUCAAUACGUUUUUGCUGAGCCUUAUAGAUUAAUCCGGGUCGCAUUAGUUAGUGGGUAAGGUAACGGCUUACCAAGGCGACGAUGCGUAGCCGACCUGAGAGGGUGAUCGGACACACUGGAACUGAGACACGGUCCAGACUCCGACGGGAGGCAGCAGUAGGGAAUCUUACGCAAUGGGGGAAAGCCUGAUGGAGCAAAGCCGCGUGAGUGAUGAAGGUCUUCGGAUCGUAAAGCUCUGUAAGUAGGGAAGAAGAAAAGUGUAAUUAACCAUGAACGUCUUGACGGUACCUAAAGAAAAAGCCACGGCUAACUCCGUG
rnacentral:rRNA from 1 species